CCCACUGAAAGGUAGAUAAUGGAAUAAAGGAUGUCCACAAAGUAAAGGAAAAAUGGAAUAUUUGGAGCAAAAAGGUCAUUAUGAGAAGACAGUGAGUAAGACCAGUAGAGAGGCUGGAUAUCGCCCACCUCUUCCCAAUACCGCACUACCGGCUAAACUCCAUUGAAAGGCGUUUGUCUAGUUAGCAAGAUGACGUUGAGAGUCAAGAAUCCCACAUCACCUAGUUAAUUUCACUCGUUGCGGUGGAAGUAGCAGAAGCCAGCAGCGUAAGCUCAUCUUGUCGAGUACAUCCGAUAAAAUUGGAACGAUACAGAGAAGUUUAGUAUGACCCUGCGCAAGGAUGACACGUAAAAAUAGUGGGCUAAUUUUUUUUUUAUUUUUUUUCUAGCUGGUUCAAAUGGCUUUCUCUUUCUGAUUUCUUUCACAGCUUCGUUCAGGUUUUGGAUACUAGGUUAUUGGGUUACAAACCAGUUAAUGUCCCCGUUGCUGCUUUUAUAAGUUGCUGUUUUAUGUUAGAAUAUGUGCUGAAUCCUGAAGCAGCUAAGCUUGAUGAAAGAACGUCUCACAAAAACACCUAAUCAGGCUCUCCUGUCAAUUCCAGCUAGUUGUAACCUAUAGUAUCUUAAUUUGCUUGAGCCUGAGCUAGUUGUUUAUACAGAUUCCUGCUGUUUCAAUUGACAUAAACA